GAUGAACGCUGGCGGCGUGCCUAAUACAUGCAAGUCGAGCGAACAGACGAGGAGCUUGCUCCUCUGACGUUAGCGGCGGACGGGUGAGUAACACGUGGAUAACCUACCUAUAAGACUGGGAUAACUUCGGGAAACCGGAGCUAAUACCGGAUAAUAUAUUGAACCGCAUGGUUCAAUAGUGAAAGACGGUUUUGCUGUCACUUAUAGAUGGAUCCGCGCCGCAUUAGCUAGUUGGUAAGGUAACGGCUUACCAAGGCAACGAUGCGUAGCCGACCUGAGAGGGUGAUCGGCAACACUGGAACUGAGACACGGUCCAGACUCCUACGGGAGGCAGCAGUAGGGAAUAUUCCGCAAUGGGCGAAAGCCUGACGGAGCAACGCCGCGUGAGUGAUGAAGGUCUUCGGAUCGUAAAACUCUGUUAUUAGGGAAGAACAAAUGUGUAAGUAACUAUGCACGUCUUGACGGUACCUAAUCAGAAAGACACGGCUAAAUACGUG
rnacentral:rRNA from 1 species